rnacentral:lncRNA from 1 species
ACCACCCAAAAUUGACUAGCUAACGUUCAGGAUAUUUGAAGUUACUUUUUAUACUUAUAAUUUCUUUGCCAUUCUAGCUGCAGGAUCAGAGAGGAAUUAAAUUUCAACCUAUGAAGUGUAUGUUCCUUUGUAGUGUAACAUUUCUAUCAAAUAGUGUGCAAGAGCCCCAGGUAUAAUGUAUGUUUGAUUAUAUUUCAACUCCAAGUGGUACCACAUUGAGAUUUC